ACGAACAUAUCGCACACGCAUGAAUUGUACACAAAUCGUUUUUGCACACAAAUUACAAUAAACAUAAAUCCAACAACAUGUGAUCUAUCAUUGUGAAUUCGGCAAAUGGAAAUCACCAAAUAACGCCACACUAAUCACCUGUGACUUUCAUAUGAGGAGUUUACAAGAGAAUAUUCAGUGAAAUCUGCCUGUUUUUCGGUUCCGUCGGGGUCCAGCAUUUAACAUUAAAAUCACAUUAAAAUUCCAUAUAAGCAGACAUUAUUGUCCACAACACGUUAAUUUAAGGUUAAACUGAUAAAUUAAUCAUAAUCAUGUUGAAGAAUAUUAUGAACCCGUGAUAUAUCGUAGAUAUUGGCGCAGCUAGAGGGGUGAUUAGGCAAGUAUAUUUAAUAUAUGUAGUUAUAUCACGCAGAGAGACCGAACUGCAUCCAUGAACUUAAGCACUAUCUAUACUGAACAAGAUGUAAUGAAACAAAUUUCCACCGGUGUAUUAUAGACACCGUAAUCCUAAAUCAAUCUGAUUGCAAAGUCACAACAAGGUUCUUAAAAUAAUGUAAAUAAAACAUGACAUACCAAAGAAGGAGUAUUGCUAGGUGGCCUGGCCGGACGAGGUGGAUACCACAAUCUGACAUCACAAACCCUAUAUAUAUUUUGGCGAAAAUUCCAUGUACAGUACUGUGCAAAAGUCUUAGGCACCUGUAUAACAUUCUGUACAGAUACGAUACCAUUCAAUGAAAGGUCCUAAAUAAACAUACUAUACAUUUUACAUUACAUUUGAGUAAUUUGGCAGAAUAGUUAAAAACUGAUUCAAAUCACCAAAUCACCAAAUAACGCCACACUUUUUGGGCUGUAGAAGAAAGCUGAAAUAAUGGCAGGUUGUUUAUGGGAUAGAUUAUUUAUUGGUAUUGUGCUCGUAGUCGGUGGUCAGCUAUUAGAUUAAUUUCUGGAAAUUCUCGAGUAUUUUAGAGAGUAAUUUCCGGCUACGCCUGACAAUAUUGAUAACAUUCUGUACCUAGAUGUAUCGAAAAAAGUUAUAUGCUUAUUUAUUUUUUGGGGGGAUUAUUUUUAUUUACCUUUUUAUCGGUUGUGAAAUAAAUCGGAUGCCGCCCUGCGAGCGCAUUAGCCGCCAAGGUACCGUAAAUAGCGACCACCACUGUCAGUCUUUCUUUUUCUGCAUUUUGCUAAAAGUGGAGCCACUAUAAACGAUACAAGGUGGUGUGCUUUAAAAACGCAAAUUGAAAUCAUUACAUCUACUCGCCAGUUUAUUUUUGUGAAACAUCGUCACCUGUACCGUAUGCAGUCUACUUGACAAUGUAUUUAGAGUAGGUCUACAACACCCGGCCCAAUGUUUAUCCUCAUCUACCUUAAGGAUAUGGAUUUAAUAAACUUACAAGUGGUGGCAAUUAGGGGCUCUUCAGCAAUCAGUAUCCUCCUCUUUCUGUUCUUCUCCAAUCCCAUUCGUUUUAUGUGAUGGGUUCACUAACCAAUCCCUUUCCAUUUUGACUGGCCGUUUAUGUGCAUACGGGAAGCUCAUAUGCAUAUACAGGCCCAUGCUGCUGCAAGACCGGCCCUCUUAAGACUUUCCUCAAGACUGCGUUUGUGUGCACACAGUUCCACGUACUUGCCCAUCAUCAUUUAAAAUGGCUCAUCCUUCAGGACAAAGCAUUGGAGGAAAUUACAAAAGGAUCUGGAUUGUGGGCUCAAGCCUCAUACGUCGUGCUGAACCAAGGGCUGUCCAAACCAUGGGGAGAAACCUGGGGCUCAACGCCACAGUAUCUUGGUUUGGACAGGGAGGCCUGCGCUGGAGCAGUGUACUACCAUUGCUCUACAAACAGCUGUCCACCCAGACACCACCUGACAUACUGGUGGUCCAUGCUGGAGGAAAUGAUUUGGGCAAGGUGAAGACCAUAGAAUUGGUCAAAAGAAUGAAGACAGACCUGACACGUAUACAGAGAGACUUCAAGAACACAGAAAUCAUUUUCUCCUGUAUUGCACAGCGGCGGGACUGGAGAAAUGCGAACCCCGCCAAAAUUAACAAGGCUUGUAUCUGGGUAAAUAAUGUAAUGACAGUCUUCAUCAGAGGUUUGGGUGGGGCAUCUAUUCCACACACUGAAAUAAAAUAUAAUCAACCGGAACAGUUUUUAAGGGAUGGGGUACAUUUAUCUGCACUUGGCAAUGAUGUAUUCUUAAAUAAUUUCAACCUUGCACUGCUCAGAUUGUGUGAAUGACACCAUUGCAGUUCAGACCCAAUGUUGUUUUUAGCUCUUCUUUUUACAACACAUUGUUAAUAUUGAAAU